GAGGCUGGCCGGGCGACCGCGGCGACCGCUUCACGGCGGUGGUCGAGGAAGGUCCGGGCUCCACAGGGCAAGGUGGUGGGUAACACCCACCCGGGGUGACCCGCGGGACAGUGCCACAGAGAACAGACCGCCUCCCGGCUCCGUUGUUUCGGGGCCGGGCGGCAAGGGUGAAACGGUGGUGCAAGAGACCACCAGUGUGCCGGGUGACCGGCACAGCUAGGUAAACCCCACCUGGAGCAAGAUCGAGAAGCCGCGACUCCGGUCGCGGUGCGCACGUGACCGAGGGCGGCCCGCCCGAGCGUGCGGGUGGAUCGCACGAGGCGGCCGGCAACGGUCGUCCCAGAUGGAUGGUCGCCAACUGCGGGGUCGCGAGGCCCCGCAGCGAACAGAACCCGGCCUAUGAGCCAGCCUCUCCG
rnacentral:RNase_P_RNA from 2 species